UUAGCAGACCGCCUUAUCGCUGUAUGCUGUCAUCCCGCACGUGCGGGAGGAAUCAGCAUAAAGAGGAAAGUCCGGACACCAUAGAGCAGUAUAGCGGCUAACGGCCGUCGUCCGCCUCAGGCGGAUAGGACAAGUGCAACAGAAAGCAAGUACAGGUAAUGCUGUAGUGAAACCAGGUAAACUCUAUACGGUGCAAUGUCAUGUAAACCUACGUUUGAGGGCGGCUCGCCCGAUGUGGGAGGGUAGGCAGAUUGAAGUGCUUGGUGACAAGUAUUCUAGAUAAAUGAUAAGGGUCAGCCUAAGGCUGAUACAGAAUCCGGCUUAUAGGUCUGCUUUUUUU
rnacentral:RNase_P_RNA from 1 species